rnacentral:rRNA from 1 species
UACGUAGGGGGCAAGCGUUGUCCGGAAUCAUUGGGCGUAAAGAGCGUGUAGGCGGCCAGAUAAGUCCGCUGUGAAAUCUCGAGGCUCAACUUCGAGCUGUCGGUGGAAACUGUUUGGCUAGAGUCCGGAAGAGGAGAAUGGAAUUCCUGGUGUAGCGGUGAAAUGCGCAGAUAUCAGGAAGAACACCCGUGGCGAAGGCGGUUCUCUGGGACGGUACUGACGCUGAGACGCGAAAGCGUGGGGAGCAAACAGG